AAGUCGUUACAAGGUUUCCGUAGGUAACCUGCGGAAGGAUCAUUAACACGUAUCCAACGUUAAACAACCCUGUGAACCUUGAACGUGCUCCUGCAGCCCCAUGAAAUCAGCAAUCCCUGGUAAAUCAUUGUUGACCAGCUUUUGAGUCCUGAAAGUGUCAUUGAUUGUGGUAAGGAUGGCGCAGUAAACGAUUGCUAGAGGCCCACACGGCCGGCAACCGGGUCCCAGGGCUCACGCCCCUUUAUCACCCCACAGUUUCCGACUGGGAAGCCGAUAAUACGGACGCCGUAAAAAACUGAACAACUGUUAACAAUGGAUAUCUUGGUUCUC
rnacentral:misc_RNA from 1 species